rnacentral:rRNA from 1 species
CUUGACCAAGCGACGCCGCGUGUGCGAUGAAGGCCUUCGGGUGUAAAGCACUGGUCGAGGGGGAGGAAGCCGCAAGGUUGACCUAUCCCUGGAGGAAGCACGGGCUAAGUUCGUGCCAGCAGCCGCGGUAAGACGAACCGUGCGAACGUUGUUCGGAAUCACUGGGCUUAAAGGGCGCGUAGGCGGGUUCACAAGUCUGUGGUGAAAUCCUCCAGCUUAACUGGAGAAGUGCCAUGGAUACUGUGGGUCUUGAGGAGGGUAGGGGCAUCUGGAACUGCCGGUGGAGCGGUGAAAUGCGUUGAUAUCGGCAGGAACUCCGGUGGCGAAGGCGAGAUGCUGGAUCCUUUCUGACGCUGAGGCGCGAAAGCCAGGGGAGCAAACGGGAUUAGAUACCCCGGUAGUCCUGGCCCUAAACGAUGAGAACUAGAUAGCGAGGGUGACAUGCCCCGCUGUCGGAGCAAAAGUGUUAAGUUCUCCGCCUGGGGAGUAUGGUCGCAAGGCUG